CCUACGGGAGGCAGCAGUGAGGAAUAUUGGUCAAUGGGCGUAAGCCUGAACCAGCCAAGUCGCGUGAGGGAUGAAGGUUCUAUGGAUCGUAAACCUCUUUUAUAAGGGAAUAAAGUGCGGGACGUGUCCCGUUUUGUAUGUACCUUAUGAAUAAGGAUCGGCUAACUCCGUGCCAGCAGCCGCGGUAAUACGGAGGAUCCGAGCGUUAUCCGGAUUUAUUGGGUUUAAAGGGUGCGUAGGCGGCCUUUUAAGUCAGAGGUGAAAGUCUGGGGCUGAACCAUAGAAUUGCGGUUGAAACUGGGAGGCUUGAGUAUGUUUGAGGCAGGCGGAAUGCGUGGUGUAGCGGUGAAAUGCUUAGAUAUCACGAAGAACCCCGAUUGCGAAGGCAGCCUGCUAAGCCAUGACUGACGCUGAUGCACGAAAGCGUGGGGAUCAAACAGGAUUAGAUACCCUUGUAGUC
rnacentral:rRNA from 1 species